GACGAACGCUGGCGGCGUGCUUAACACAUGCAAGUCGAACGGAAAGGCCCUGCUUUUGUGGGGUGCUCGAGUGGCGAACGGGUGAGUAACACGUGAGUAACCUGCCCUUGACUUUGGGAUAACUUCAGGAAACUGGGGCUAAUACCGGAUAGGAUCUCCUGCUGCAUGGUGGGGGUUGGAAAGUUUCGGCGGUUGGGGAUGGACUCGCGGCUUAUCAGCUUGUUGGUGGGGUAGUGGCUUACCAAGGCUUUGACGGGUAGCCGGCCUGAGAGGGUGACCGGCCACAUUGGGACUGAGAUACGGCCCAGACUCCAACGGGAGGCAGCAGUGGGGAAUAUUGCACAAUGGGCGGAAGCCUGAUGCAGCAACGCCGCGUGCGGGAUGACGGCCUUCGGGUUGUAAACCGCUUUCGCCUGUGACGAAGCGUGAGUGACGGUAAUGGGUAAAGAAGCACCGGCUAACUACGUG
rnacentral:rRNA from 1 species